rfam:Schistosoma margrebowiei strain Zambia genome assembly, scaffold: SMRZ_contig0008941
GUCUAGCUGAUGAGUCUUAAAUAGGACGAAAUCUGUAUCUUGGAU